rnacentral:lncRNA from 1 species
CUACUUUAUGGCAAGUGCUUCUCAAUGAAAUUUCUAGACCAUCAUUCCGUCAUUUUAAAGAGCAUCAAGUUGGAGUUCGGGAACGCAGGGCUAUUUCUGAUGCAAGCCACAGAAAUCUACACAAAUGAACUGAAGCAAAACUAGGUGUGUGUGGGAAUUUAAAGCAGAAGAGUGGCUAGGCCACGUGGAGGCUUGGAAAAGUAUCAGAAAACUUGCCAGAGGGGCUGGCCCCGUGGCUGAGCGGUUAAGUUCGCGCGCUCCGCUGCAGGCGGCCCAGUGUUUCUUUGGUUCGAAUCCUGGGCGUGGACAUGACACUGCUCAUCAAACCACGCUGAGGCAGCGUCCCACAUGCCACAACUAGAAGGACCCACAUCGAAGAAUAUACAACUAUGUACCGG